rnacentral:rRNA from 1 species
CUACGGGCGGCUGCAGUGAGGAAUAUUGCACAAUGGGGGGAACCCUGAUGCAGCAACGCCGCGUGGAGGAUGACGCAUUUCGGUGUGUAAACUCCUUUUAUAUGUCAAGAAAAUGACGGUAGCAUAUGAAUAAGCACCGGCUAACUCCGUGCCAGCAGCCGCGGUAAUACGGAGGGUGCAAGCGUUACUCGGAAUCACUGGGCGUAAAGGACGCGUAGGCGGGUUGGAAAGUCAGGUGUGAAAUCCUACAGCUUAACUGUAGAACUGCACUUGAAACUUCUAAUCUAGAGUAUGGGAGGGGGAGAUGGAAUUAGUGGCGUAGGGGUAAAAUCCGUAGAUAUCACUAGGAAUACCUAAAGCGAAGGCGAUCUCCUGGAACAUUACUGACGCUAAGGCGUGGAAGCGUGGGGAGCAAACAGGAUUAGAUACCCCCGUAGUC